rnacentral:lncRNA from 1 species
CCUCCUCCUCCAACACCUUCAUCAUUGUGCCACAACAUCCUUUGGGGAAGAUGUGAUGAGAGGAUACAACACAACCUGGUUAUUUCCAUUCAAAGGGGCUCCAGGGACGGUUGACAGAGUUCCAGACGAGGCCUCCAGAGAUCAUGGUCAACCUACCCCCAGCUGCAGCACCACAGUGGAGGAGAAAGGCAAAGGAGAGGGACAACGACGGCUAGCCCCCCUCUCCCAUCUCCCAAGGCGAGGUCUCCGACACCUGGAGAAGUUCACGGAGAGCCUGGCUCAGAUGGAGAAAAGGAACCUGCAGCUGCAGCAGGAAAACAUGGUGCUGCAGCAGAGAGUCAUGGAGCUGGAGACCCAAGUCUCCAGCCUUCACCGGGCAAGGAACACGCAAUCCCUCUGGGGAAGAUUGAAGAGGCAGUAUAGAAUGAGAAGGGGGUCUGUAAGGCCUCAAGAAACCAUCCAAAUCACAGUGACCAGUAACACCAGUAGGGACACCACAUCCCAAAGGCGGCACUGAUGAUAUAACUCUGUAACUAAGGCCUGCUCUCCGGAUUCCGACACUUAACCCCAUUUAGAUCAUGAGUCUCAAGCCAAACGUCCAAAACUUCAAAGGAUUUAUUGGGAGUUAACAUGUCUGGCACUGCCUGGGUGUAGCCGACUCUGUCAUUGUCACCCUUGACCCUGGUUUUCCCCCACUGUGGCAGAAACUUCAGUCACCUAGAAACCAUCUUUGAAACAUUUAUGGAAUGCAAGCUGCCCACUGCGUCCCCCUCCCUUUCUGUUGGUCAUUCUAAAAGACCACAGAAACAUUUUAUGAGUUGACAUUCGGCUCCCCUCCCCUCCUGAAGGUGAUCUGUACAACAGAAAAAAAAAAGUUUCAUUUCAGUUUUUUACAUUAUAAAACAAAAACAACUCUUUUCUUUUUUAAAAAAAAACAGUUUAUUAGUUUUUACAAUUAAAAACAACCAACGAUACAUACACAAAUAAACGAGAACAAAAAAAGAAGGAAGAAAAGAAA